rnacentral:rRNA from 1 species
AGCAGCCGCGGUAAUUCCAGCUCCAAUAGCGUAUAUUAAAGUUGUUGCAGUUAAAAAGCUCGUAGUUGAAUUUCGGGAUCAAAGAAUCGGUCAUGCCUUGGUAUGUACUGGUUUUAUUGGUUCUCACCUUCUAAAGAACCAUGAUGUCAUUCAUUUGAUGUUAUGGGGAAUUAGGACUGUUACCUUGAAAAAAUUAGAGUGUUUAAAGCAAGCUUACGCUUGAAUACAUUAGCAUGGAAUAAUGAAAUAGGACAUCAGAUUCUAUUUUGUUGGUUUCUAGGAUCGAUGUAAUGAUUAAUAGGGAUAGUUGGGGGGCAUUAGUAUUCAAUUGUCAGAGGUGAAAUUCUUGGAUUUAUUGAAGACUAACUACUGCGAAAGCAUUUGCCAAGGAUGUUUUCAUUAAUCAAGAACGAAAGUUAGGGGAUCGAAGACGAUCAGAUACCGUCGUAGUCUUAACCAUAAACUAUGCCGACUAGGGAUCGGAUGAUGUUAAUUUUUUAAUGACUCAUUCGGCACCUUA